AAUUUGUAUUUUGAAAAUCAUUACUUUUUUAUUAUUUUUAGGAACGUUAACAGAGCAUGAAGAGUAUCAACAGAUUAUCUUCUUAGAUGAUGAUAUGUCCGUUUCUCAGGAAAAAGAAGAGUUCGAAGAGGAAAAAUAAGAAAAAAAUAA